rnacentral:misc_RNA from 1 species
UACGUAGGCGGCAAGCGUUAUCCGGAUUUACUGGGCGUAAAGAGAGUGUAGGCGGUUUGAUAAGUCAUUUUUGAAAGCGUUCCGCUCAACGGGAUUGUUGAAAAUGAUACUGUCAGACUUGAGAUCAGGAGGGGUAGUUGGAACUCUGAGUGUAGGGGUGAAAUCCGAUGAUAUUCAGAGGAACACCAAGGGUGAAGACAGACUACUGGCCUGACACUGACGCUGAGACUCGACAGCCAGGGUAGCGAAAGGG